ensembl:snRNA U6 U6 spliceosomal RNA
GUGCUCGCCUUGGCAGCACAUACACUAAAAUUGGAAUGACAGAGAUUAGCAUUGCCCCUGAGCAAGGAUGACAUACAAAUUCGUGAAACGUUCCAUAUUUUU